rnacentral:rRNA from 1 species
AAGAACAACAGGGAUUGCCUCAGUAACGGCGAGUGAAGCGGCAACAGCUCAAAUUUGAAAUCUGGCUCCUUUGGCGCCCGAGUUGUAAUUUGUAGAGGAUGCUUCGGCGUCGGCCCCGCCCAAAGUUCCUUGGAACGGGACGUCAUAGAGGGUGAGAGCCCCGUGUCUAGGCGGAUGCCUUCGCCAUGUGAAGCUCCUUCGACGAGUCGAGUUGUUUGGGAAUGCAGCUCAAAACGGGAGGUAAAUUUCUUCCAAAGCUAAAUACCGGCCGGAGACCGAUAGUGCACAAGUAGAGUGAUCGAAAGAUGAAAAGCACUUUGGAAAGAGAGUCAAACAGCGCGUGAAAUUGUUGAAAGGGAAGCGCUUGUGGCCAGACUUGGCCGCGGUUGUUCGGCGGGGCUUCUGCCCCGUUUACUCUUCCGCGGCCGGGCCAGCAUCGACUUGGGCGGCUGGAUAAAGAUCGCGGGAACGUGGCUCCCUCCGGGGAGUGUUAUAGCCCGCGAUGCAAUGCAGCCUGCCCGGGUCGAGGUCUGCGCAUCUGCUAGGAUGCUGGCGUAAUGGCCCCAAGCGGCCCGUCUUGAAACACGGACCAAGGAGUCUAACAUUCGUGCGAGUGUUCGGGCGUGAAAACCCGUGCGCGCAAUGAAAGUGAACGGAGGUGGGAACCUUAGGGCGCACCAUCGACCGAUCCUGAUGUCUUCGGAUGGAUUUGAGUAUGAGCACGUAUGUUGGGACCCGAAAGAUGGUGAACUAUGCCUAAGCAGGGCGAAGCCAGAGGAAACUCUGGUGGAGGCUCGCAGCGGUUCUGACGUGCAAAUCGAUCGUCAAAUUUGGGUAU